UACGGAGGGGGCUAGCGUUGUUCGGAAUGACUGGGCGUAAAGCGCGCGUAGGCGGAUCGGCAAGUUGGGGGUGAAAUCCCGGGGCUCAACCUCAGAAUUGCCUCCGAUACUGGCAGUCUCGAGUGCGGGAGAGGUGAGUGGAAUUCCCAGUGUAGAGGUGAAAUUCGUAGAUAUCGGGAGGAACACCGGUGGCGAAGGCGGCGACCUGGGUAGAUACUGACGCUGAGGUGCGAAAGCGUGGGGAGCAAACAGG
rnacentral:rRNA from 1 species